AGUUAUGACUUCAAACGACUAACAAUUUGGUUGCAUUAGCUAGCAGCUACCUAACGUUGACGUUAGCUAUGCAGAAUUACUUUACGUUGCCUAUUUAAGUCUAUUUAUUUCUAUUUCUCUCUGUUAAUCAGUUGCAUCUGUACAGCAUCAACCGGGGUCGCCAUUGUUAUGUAUGUGUGGGUGACUAGGGCUGUCACCAUA